rnacentral:rRNA from 1 species
GGAUAACCUGGGAAACCCAGGCUUAUACCGCAUACGUCCUACGGAGAAAGGGGGCUUCGGCUCCCGCUAUCGGAUGAGCCUAUGUCGGAUAGCUAGUUGGUGAGGUAAAGGCUCACCAAGGCAACGAUCCGUAGCUGGUCUGAGAGGAUGAUCAGCCACAUCGGGACUGAGACACGGCCCGAACUCCUACGGGAGGCAGCAGUGGGGAAUAUUGGACAAUGGGGGCAACCCUGAUCCAGCCAUGCCGCGUGUGUGAAGAAGGCCCUCGGGUUGUAAAGCACUUUCAGCGAGGAAGAACGCCUAGCGGUUAAUACCCGCUAGGAAAGACAUCACUCGCAGAAGAAGCACCGGCUAACUCCGUGCCAGCAGCCGCGGUAAUACGGAGGGUGCAAGCGUUAAUCGGAAUUACUGGGCGUAAAGCGCGCGUAGGUGGCUUGAUAAGCCGGUUGUGAAAGCCCCGGGCUCAACCUGGGAACGGCAUCCGGAACUGUCAAGCUAGAGUGCAGGAGAGGAAGGUAGAAUUCCCGGUG